rnacentral:lncRNA from 1 species
AUUCCUGGGAUUGGUGUGUGUAUUUUUUUUUAAUGUUAAUAGACAAUGUGUUGAAAUAUGUAAGACCAAGAUAAUCAACGGAUUUUUGACCAAAUGAAUUAUUAAAAUAGGUAACUUUUGCAUUAUAUGCUCUAUUUUCACUCUUAUCAAAUAUGCUUUCUGUAUCGACCCAUAAUUAUUUGCGUUUGACAUAAAUAUACAUUAAAUGGAACUUAUAUUAUUGUUUUUAAUGAUUGAUUAAUUAUUAGGUGAUACAAAACUAGCAAGUAGGUACCAGCCUAUUAACAAACAGCAAUCAGCAAUGUAAAAUAUUAAAAUGUAAAACUAUUUUGUUUUUAAAUUUAUUUCACUUAUUAUUUAAAUACUAUAAUAAUAUUUAUUUUAGUGUACCUGUUCUAUUCAUGUCCUUAUUAUACUUAAAAAUCAUCAUUAUAAUAAAAUUAAUUGUAACGGGUUUAUUACUUUACAGCCAAAAAUUGAAAAAUCACACAAACGACAAGUUGAUUGACCAUUUCUGCGAUCCUGGUACCUAUAAUAUUUCAUUUUUCUACGGUCAAAUGUUAAAACAACAACGAAAAACUGGUACCCGGAAUAAAAAUGGUUCCUUUUUCGAUAUAAAUGGUCCCAGGACUUCAGAAGGUUCGGUGUGCAGUGUUUACCGUUAAGUUAGAUCUUUAAGAUUCUUGUGAUUAAUGACAUGGGUAUGGUACACUAAAACAAUUACAACUAAGUCCCGACAUAAUCGAUUUUUAUUACUACUUUAUGAAGUACAACACUUUUGCUCCACGGUGUUACGCGAUUUACAUAAAUUAGCUUUAAUCAUUAUCAUUAUAAUUAUCCGUUUAUUUAUUUAAACACGGUAGAUAUAAAAUUGUUAAAAUGUUUAGGUUUUGGUAAUUUCGGGGUGAGUAAAUGACAAAUAAUACAUACUAUAAACAAGACGGGCGCCACUUUGGGAGUGUAGAAAAUCCAGUUGAAUCGCCGAAAAAAUAAAAAACUUACCGGUUUUACUAAAAAAAUGUAUGUAACAUAUGCAAUUUUUAUUAACGUUAUAAAAUCGGUUAACGCCGUUAUAUUUACCCUUUUUGUAAAUGAAAACCGAUUUUGUGCUGUUAAUUUUGAUAUUAUAGUGUGUAUUAGCUUAUUAUCAAACUUAAAAGUAAGAACAUUGUCUAUUAUUAUUGUACGUUGGUUUUCAUCUCGAUAUUUUAUUAUUAUUUCAUGCGAGUUACGAAUGUAUGAAAUAUUACAAUUAUUUAAAUAUCAUCGAAUCUGGCUUAAAAAUCACAAUAUCGAAAAAAACACCAAUGUACGAUUACGCAAGCAAUGUUCGUAACUUCAAGUUUGAUAACAGGCCAAUACACUUUAACAUUGAAACUAACAGCACGAAAUCGGUUAUAGCUCGCAUAAACAUAACGACAUUAACCGUAACAUAUCAACAUUGCAGAUGCAAAUAUCGCAGAUCGCCCGUGAUAACGUCGUCUCUCGUCGGUCGUCGUGACAUGUUAAUAGCUUAUUUCAUGGCAGCUAACUGAUUUUUUUUAAAUAGACGUCAGUAACCAAGAAACAAGCUGUAACCUUGUCACAAACGGUUGAACAGUAUGCCGGUAGUAAAAUAAUAUAUUCUGAACAAUUUCGUGGACGAUGAAUUACAGAAAUAUCGAUAAAAAAAAAUAUAUAUAUAUAUAAAAUGACAUAAUACAAUUUCGAUUAAUACGCUCGUCGUGAUGGUUGCAGGCCGUCGUGUUACAAACUGUAUUAAUGUGGUCCGGGAAAAAAGUGGACGGAUGAUGAUCGUCGUCAGUCGGCGUUUUAGAAAAAAAAAAUAAAAAAAGAAAAGGAAACGAACUCAUCCGGUUUCGAUAAAACGAGCGG